CUGGCUUAGAACUCUGGCCUAUAAAGCAUCUUUAACAAAGAACAAUAAAAUUGUGGGGAAAUGAUAGGACAAAAGAAAGCAGUUCUAGGCUUUCAACAGCAGAAAACUGUGGAAAGAAUUGACGCCAUCAAGCUACAGAUGGUCUUACAAACGGAACUCCAAAUGAGUUCAACUAACAACUUCUACCGAGGACUCCUGGACUGACCCACUGGCCCUUUCACUGGCCAAGAGAGCUCCUCUCUGGAGGACACUACAACUGCAGGGCCCCUUCUUCACACCUAUCCAGCAGGAAGUAGCUAGAGUGGUCAUCAGCCAAAUUCCCAACAGCAGUUGGGGUGUCCUGUUUAGAGGGGAAAGUGAGAGGUGCCAACAUGCCAGCAGCCCUCGCUCACUCUCGGUGCUUCCUCGGCCUCAGUGUCCACUCUGGCCACACUUGAGGAGCCCUUCAGCCUGCAGCUGCACUGUGAGCCCCUCUCUGGGGCUGGCCAAGGCCAGAGCCGGCUCCCUCUGCUCGCAGGUAGGUAUGGAGGGAGAGGCGUGGGCAGGAGCCGGGGCUGCAUUCGGUGCUUGUGGGCCAGCACACAUUCUGGGUGGGCAUGGGCUUAGCAGGCCUCACAUUCAGCAUGGCCAGCCACUGCCUGCUGGGCUUAAUUAGGGGACAAGCUCCCUCUGGGCUGCCGGAGUGCCCAGGCUGGGUGCUGCAGAGUCCCGCAGCAAGUGCCAGUGACAGGUG
rnacentral:lncRNA from 1 species